UCGGGAAGGGAUAAACGCUGAAGGCAUCUAAGCGUGAAGCCCCCCUCAAGAUGAGAUAUCCCAGUGAAAACAUAAGACCCCUUGAAGACGACGAGGUUGAUAGGGCAGGGGUGGAAGUGCAGCAAUGCACGGAGCUGGCUGUCACUAAUAGGUCGAAAGCUUGACCAG
rnacentral:ncRNA from 1 species